rnacentral:misc_RNA from 1 species
GAUGAAGAACGCAGUGAAAUGCGAUAAGUAAUGCGAAUUGCAGAAUCCGUGAGUCAUCGAAUCUUUGAACGCACAUUGCGCCCCUUGGUUAUUCCGAAGGGCAUGCCUGUUCGAGCGUCAUUAUCACCCCUCAAGCCCUGGCUUGGUGUUGGACUUUAGUUAUAGCUUUGCCUAUCAACUGGUCUCAAAGAUAGUGACGGCGCCCCAGAGGGAACCGGGUACGAGGAGCUUUUUACUAAGCAUGUAUCUGGGACGACUCUGGGCGACGGUCUUGUUAUACUUUUUACCUAAGUGUUGACCUCGGAUCAGGUAGGAAUACCCGCUGAACCUAAGCAUAUCAAUAAGCGGAGGA